rnacentral:misc_RNA from 1 species
AAGUCGUAACAAGGUUUCCGUAGGUGAACCUGCGGAAGGAUCAUUAACGAAUAUCUAUGGCGUUGGUUGUAGCUGGCUCCUAGGAGCAUUGUGCACGCCCGUCAUUCAUAUCAUCUUUCCACCUGUGAACCAUGUGUAGGCCUGGAUACCCCUCGCUUUGGCAACAAAGCGGAUGCAAGGAUUGCUGCGUCGACAAGGCCGGCUCUCUUUGAAUUUCCAGGUUCUAUGUCUUUUUACACACCCCAUUCGAAUGAUUUAGAAUGUAGUCAAUGGGCUUUCAUGCCUAUAAAAAAACUAUACAACUUUCAGCAACGGAUCUCUUGGCUCUC